UACGAAGGGGGCUAGCGUUGCUCGGAAUCACUGGGCGUAAAGCGCGCGUAGGCGGACUCUUAAGUCAGGGGUGAAAUCCUGGAGCUCAACUCCAGAACUGCCUUUGAUACUGAGAGCCUUGAGUUCGGGAGAGGUGAGUGGAACUGCGAGUGUAGAGGUGAAAUUCGUAGAUAUUCGCAAGAACACCAGUGGCGAAGGCGGCUCACUGGCCCGAUACUGACGCUGAGGUGCGAAAGCGUGGGGAGCAAACAGG
rnacentral:rRNA from 1 species